CAAAGGGAUGCCCCUAUGGUGAAUACAAACACCAAGCCAAAAAUGCAUAAGCCGAAAUUGAGAAGCACCAGAAAAACGAUUAAGUAAAAGCAGACAUGAACGAGAAUGCUUAUCACCGAAAAUGUUUAUCAAAAAAGCUCCGAGCAACAACCAUCCUGCUUCAGAAAUCGAUUGUCCUCGUCCUCACGUUUCCGUACUUCCGGUCACGUUUGCACCGACAUCCUCACGGUUUCAGAUUCUUCCUUGAGUUCGCGUUCAAGAAUUGCGUUUCAGUUCAUCGGUAUCUCGCUUCAGAGAUUCUUUCUUCUUCGUUCAAAGAUUGUGUUUUGAAUUCAGCAUCCCGUAUUCAUGUUUGUAGAGUCCACCUUCUUCGUUGGUUGAUUCGCGUCCGUAUUGGAUCAGCUUGUGUUUCCGCAUUCGCCAAUGGUGUGCAUCAAUAGCAUCACGUUUGUUCUUCGCACUCGAUUCACGCUCAUGGCAUCAUGAAUUUAACACCAACUAAUUAAUCGUAGAUUGAAGCAAAACUCACCGGUUCGACGCGGCGCAAAACCGGUAGUGCACAUGCUCACCUUUGAUCUAUCAAACUUAUAUAUAGGGUUUAAGACCCUCAAUGCAACGCUCAAUCAAGAAAUGGUUUACUAUGACUAUAAGUAUCAUAUAUGGAUCCCCAUGAUCUUCACAUGAUAUUUUCAUUAAGAAACCAUCAAGAUUUUGGAGUUUGUUUGCCUUGGAAACCCUAAUUCAUCUGAGUAUCUUGUGUGACUUCUUCAACACGUUUCUUCACCAAUUGGUCAAUUAUUUCAAGGGAUACUUCACAUUUCAUCAUCUUAUGCAUAUAUGAUCCUCCAUGAGUCCCAAAUGUCAAGAGAAUGUCAAGUUAAUAAGUUGGUUCAUGGUGGUUGACCAGAGGAAUUCAACUGAUCAAAAUUGGGGUUUCCUAGACCCUAUCUCCUAUAAUUUUUAUCAUAUGGAAAUGAUUCCAAGAGAAAAGUUACUCUAAAUGACAUUGCAAACAACUUUAAUGUUGAGUCCAAGAGCUAGUUUUGCUUGGAAAGUCAUUUUUUAUAGUGAAAGAUUAUAUGUCAUUUUAUCUAAA